UCUGAUCUUCUUUUUUAUAAUAUCAAGAAUCCUUCUUCUAAGUCCUAAGAUACUUCUAAAUUUAAGUUCAAAAAUAACCUAUUCUAUUUCAAAAGUCAAUUAAAUGUUCUAAAAGAAGAAGCAUGAUUACGUGUUCUUCAAGCUUGUCAUGACUUUCUAGGAGCAGGAUAUUUUAGAUACAUGAAUUUAGAGCUUAUAUCUAGAG
rnacentral:lncRNA from 1 species